CAGUGCAAGUCUGGUUCCUUCUGCCA
rnacentral:misc_RNA from 1 species